rnacentral:lncRNA from 1 species
UCCCUGGCCUCGCUCAGUGGGUUAAGGAUCCAGGGUUGCCGUGAGCUGUGGUGUAGGUCACAGAUGCCGCUUGUGUGGCCCUAAAAAGACAGGAAAGAAAGACCAACCCAUGUUUUGAAAUUUUAGAAUUUGCGUUUUCUCCAUCAAUUUAUUUUGCACUUGCGCAUUUUGUUUUUUACUGAAGACUGGUUGUGCAUGUGUUGGUGAUUUAACAAGAAGGAAAUAUUGUUUUACGCCUUCUAGCAAAGAUUAAAAUAACUAGAUUUCACUUUAUAGAAAAAAGUGUUUUUAAAGAAAAUGGUUAAUUUCUCAUUGAAUUUCCAUGGGCAAGUUAUUGGAAUUCUGUAAGUCUCAGUUUCCUUAUCUGUAAAACAGAGAUAAGAAAACCUACCUUGCGGGGUUGCCAUGACAUGGGGAAGAUGAGAUAGCAAUCGCACAGGUGGGCAGGUGUAGGACUUGGGAUGGAUGUGAACUGAGAGAAUUAAUCAAUGACAGAGUAAAUCACUGAAUGCUUUAUGAGAUCCUAUCAUGGAACUUCCAUAUAAUGCUAUAAAAUUGGCAGUAAUCUUGGUACUUUGGUAUCUGGCCCCCAAGAUGAAAGGUCGAUAUGACCUGUUUUCAUGUAAAAAUAGCUAGUUUGUUCUAAAAAGAUGUAAUUCUAAGGCAGAAGGAAUGGUUACAAAAAAACAGAUUUUUUUUUUUUUUUUUUCUGUUUAGGGCUGCAGCCACAGCAUAUGGAAAUUUCCAGGCUAGGGGUCGAAUCAGAGCUGCAGCUGCUAGCCAAUGCCCCAGCCACCACAAUACCAGAUCCAAUCCACAUCCACGACCUAUGCUUCCUUGACCCACUGAGAAAGGCCAGGGGUGGAACUCACAUCCUCAGUGGGAACAGUGGGAACGCCAUACAAAGAACCAGAUUUUAAUUUGUACAAAAACAAGAUAUCCUGGGGGAUUUUAUAUUUUUACGGUGCUUUAUAGUUCAUAAAAGACUUCAACGUGCCUCAUCUCUUUAGCGUUUCCAAAAUCACUGCCAGAGAAAAGGCUGGGAAGGGAUCAGUCACUCUGGCUUUACAAAUGGAGAAGUGAAGACUCCCAGAGAGGAAGGAACUCCUCGAUGGCCGAUAGAGGCUUGAAGUAGUCUCAGACCCAGCCUCUUGUACCCAGUUUUGUCUCUGUGGCAUAGGGGACUACAGUUAAAGCUGUUCAAAAGAAGAUCGAACCCUUUGGUGCUUAUUGGUGCAUUUUUCUAAAGUGCCUGCAAGCAUCUGAGUAAUAGUUAAACUAAUGUUUGUUUCCCUUUCAUGAUGACAGUAUAUGAGAUUUUACCAUCGGUACUUAAGACUCAACAUGCGCUUAAACUCCAGACACACAAAGGGAUGAAGUGGAGGGGGGAGAGGGAGUCAAGUGGGCUAUUCUGCAGGCUGCCUCGGGCUUUCUUUCUGGAUGGACCGCUAACAAGCCUCUCCACUGCAUGGUUCUCUGGCUCAGUUGUACAUUUCAAUGAAGCCUGCCAACUCGCAGCUUUGUGCCUCCCAAAAUUCAACAGGGGAGCGGAUGGAUCUGGCCUGUUUGUGACAGAUUGUGACCCACUUUGAGGAAUCCCUGCUUCUGUUCAGACUCCCCAGGAAAUCUUCCAGCUCUUCCGGGCCAACUGGGCUCUGGGCAGACCUCAGGAAACACAGUCUAAAGCCUCUAGCCAGUCUAAAGCCUGUGCUGGGGAUCCCAUGAAGAAAGAACCUACGAGGCUCCUUGCCUCAAGGCAUACAUUCUUUUUUCCCCCUUUUCCUUUUUUGGCUGCUCUGGGGCAUAUGGAGUUCCUGAGCCAGGGAUCAGAUCUGACCUACACCGAAGCUGCCACAAUCCGGGAUCCUUUAACCCACUGUGCCGGGCUGAGGAUUGAACCUGCGAUAUUGAACCUGCAUCCUGGUGCUGCAGAGAUGCUGCCAAUCCCGUUGCGCCACAGCAGGAACUCCAAGGCGUACUUAUUUCUCCUAUUUGUGCUACCUAAACAACUGGAUCUGAGAAGGAACUGGUUCUCUAAUGCCUUUUCUUGCAGUGAGCUCCCAGCAUGGUUUCACGCUGCCCCUGGAAGCAGUGAGAAAGAAGCAUCAAACAGCCAGCCCGUGCUCCUCGGUGCCUGGGCACCCAGUGUUGCUCCCUCCCUCCCCCCACCUCACUGUGACAACCAAACACAUCUGCCCCACCCCCACCUGCCAUUUUGAAAUGCCCGUAUUGCCCUCACAUGAAAAUCACUGAAUUCGUUUGACCAGUAAUUUCCUUGGUAAUAGAUAUUUUGGCAGCAGACAUUUAGAAACAUCUUACCCAAUGACAGGGCAUCUGGCAGACUAUAAACCGCAGGAACAAUUUGUCCCAUGGCCUGUUCUCGUGUGACCCUCAAGCUAGGAAUGGCUUUCGUAUUUUUAAAGAGCUAGGAGGAGGAGGGCAGCCGUAGAGUCUGCAUUUGAUUCACAAAGUCCGUAUUUACUCUCCGGCCCUUUGCAGGGAAUGUUCACAACUCAACAAGCAAUGACCAGGUACCAAGCAUGCUGCCAGGCACCAGUGAUACCGUGAUGGAUAAGGCAUCGUUGUCGAUCUGUGUGGGAGACAAUCCAUGCGCCUUCCUCGCAGGUGCAAUGGGGUCAUACACAUGUUGCUAGGGAAGCACAAAUGAGGGUCGCUCCGGUCAGCCUUGGGGACUUAGAGCAUGCAGAUAGGAGAGCUUCUGGGGAAGGGGGGUGCAGUUAAAGUGAAUCUGGAAAGAGAAGAAGCCAGGAGAAAUUGGGUGGAGGGUGGUGAGGCAGGAAAAGAGCCUAGAGAGAGUCAGAAGGGUGCAAAGCUGUGAGUGCCUGCAAGGCAGCGAAUGCCAAAAGCUGAAGCGGGAGGGGCAACUAGAUGCUUGGGCUUUACCCGGGUUCAGAUGCUGGCUCUGUCACUUAGGAGCUGUGCAGCUUUAAGUAAAGUACUUAACUUUUCUGUGCCUCAACUCCCUCACCUGCGACAUGUGGUUAGGAAGAGUCCCUGUCCCAGAGGGUUGCUGAGAGCAUUAGGUGAGACAGUACAUACAAAGCAGGCAGCAGGGUGCCAGCCCAUGACGAACCCUUGCAAAUGGUGCCAAUCAUUGUUGCUGCCAGGGUCAUGGCUCUUAUGCCCUCAGGGAGAGGAAGGCAUGGAGAAGCUGUGAGCACCUCCUAUGCACCUGCCUCCACAUGCAGCACCAGGAAUACAAUGCUUUUAUGUGUCUUGUGACGCCUGUAUGAGACCUCGACCUUGCAGAAAUCCAAGCAAAAAGGGUUGUGACUGUGGCGUUCCCUGGUGCCAGUUGCAGUGUUCAGGGAAUGCUAACGGUCUAUCCAUCCUUUGCUGAAGGUGCCUAGGAUGGGCUACAGGCACGAGAUACAUCCAAGAUACACAGAUGGGCUACAGGCACGAGGGUGUACAUCCGAGAGCCCAGGAAGGUAGGAAAGUCAAAAGAAGGGCAGGAGAGUGCUUCCCUCUUUCUCCUAAAAGGAAAAUACCAAGUAUGCUUGAUGGGGGGGAGUCACGGCUCUUUGUCCUCCCAGACCCGCAUGUCAUCCUGGGCAGCUUUUCUUUGCCCCUAUAGUCAGCAACUCUCCGAAGUUUCUUUGGCCUCAUGGACUUUUUCUGUGGGUCUCUGCUUCUUCACACAAAGCAGAAAACCUCUCUCCCUGCAUGUCACUGAACCCAGAGCUUGGAUAAGAGAGGGGAGGCCCUCACCCCUGAGUUGUGCCCACCUGGCUUUCUGCAUCCAGAAGUGGAGUCCACAGUGCCACCCGGGCUUGUGCUGGACAGAGGGGACUCACGUCCGCCCUGCCUUGUGGAGCAUCCCUCUAGCUGCUCUGUGCAGGGGACCUUCUCCAACGUAAACAGAGGCUGCAGAAGAGGCAGGGAGGAAGUGCCAGUCUGCUCGCAGGCCCACAACCCCACCUCCUGCUGACAACGGAGUGAGCUGAGAGGGCGCCUCUCCUGGGCUGCCUUUCCAAGGCUUCUAAGCUGCUUGGUGACCUCCAUGGUCAGCAGCUUCCAGGUGCGGCUCAGCUACGUGGCAUGGGAUCUGCUGCGGGAGUUCUGAGGAUGCGGCGCUGAGGGUGGUGGUGCUGUGGGUGGAGGGUCCCCAGAAUGCCCUUGGCCCACGUUCUCCUGUCCCCACUGCGGGAGCCACCAAGGCUGGCAGCUGGGAGCCUCAGGGCCACCCUAGCACAGCUCCCCUCCGAGCAGGUUGGGCUCUGACUGUGCAAUCCUUCUGGCCCCUUUGAGAAGAAGGCAUUAUCUUUGAUAUUAUCAUACAAUAACAAGACAAUGUCCCUGUCCUCUGUGGCUUUCUGACCGAGCACUCUGCACUCUGGGAAGAAACAUGCUCUUUAUUUUCCCUCCGAAACAUCGAAGCUGACAGCACGGAGACGGGGCUGUGGUCAUUUUCAGACCAUUAACCUCUCCCCUCCCCGCCCUCCUCUCCUCAUCAGCCACCCUGUCACCUGCCCCUGGGCUUCUGGCCCUCCCACCCAUCUACCCACCUCUUUAGAGCCCUGGAAAUAUACAGCGCUACGAACUUUGCUCAGAUAUAUCCAUUUAGGAGUUCCCACUGUGGCUCAGUGGUAAUGAACCCCACUAUAGGGUAGGCCAGCAGCUACAGCUCCCAUUCAGCCCUUAGCCUGGGAACUUCCAUUAGCUGUGGGUGCAGCCCUAAAAAGACAAAAACACCCCAAAAAGUAUCCAUGUACUUCUUACAAUAGCCCUAAGAGAUAGGUAUUGUUCUCAUUUCACAGGUGAGAAAACUGAGGCCCAGAGAGGUUAAGGAACUUGCCUGGGGACACACAGUCUGUGAUAGAGGACAGAUUUGAGCCCAGGCUGUCUGACUCCAUUGUUGGUGCUUUUAGCCCUGCGCUAUUCAGCCUCCGGUUCUGGUGCUCUUUCUGUGCGGAUCUUCAUAGAGAAUAAGCCACCACGUGAUACGUGGCAUCCAGGCCAGUGGACACUCUGAAGCCGAGAAGCAUGUGGAUCAGCGCCGACCACCAUCCAUGUGAGAAGAGGAGCCCCCGGGGAGGCUUGAGCCCAUCCAGGUGGACAAAGCUCUCCUUUCUCCCAGGGAUGUUUCCUGGUUGUUGCCAGAGCUUCUCAGGUAACCCCAGUUUGAGUGUCUGAAAUCCCUGUGGGAAGCCCAGCACCUCCAGAGCAAUACCUGGGAUUCUCAGAGCGUCCUAGAACCAGCCUUGGUUUGAGCAGCCGAGCUUUCAGACAUCCAGUUACUGGACACCCGGCCUCUGGGGCCAGCGGUGGGCCACCGGACCUCUCCCCAGGAACACCUAGUGGACACAUCUUGGAGCCUGUCAUGGGGUACCUGUGGGCCUGGAUCUGUCUGUAGAAACGGACAAAAUUAUAUCUCACAAGGGUGCGCU